GACGCUAUGAAGCAAAGACGCUGAAAUUGGAGCAAUGACGCUGGCGGCGCUGGUAUGACAGAAAAAGACGCAAUGCACGCACUCUUGGCAGCCUUCAGGAAUAAGAGACACUUUGCCAUGAAAAGGGGCGUGGUUUAGCCAAAUUGAGCACACCAUGUUAUACUUCCACCAUGGAACGGAACAGUUACGGAAAGGAGAUAUGGUGGGUGGUCAGUCAAUCAGAGCAAUUCCGUUUCAGUUCCGUUCCGAUUUUUGACGACUGGGCUCCCCACGUAUGAAUGUUUGACGUAACGGAAUUAAAACGGAAAAAUUAACCUCACUUUCGUGAAAUGUUUUCGCAGACAACACGUGUCCCAAGUGAGAAACAAAUUUAAAAAAUAUUUUUCUGUCGAUUGUAUCAGUAUUUUUAUGUUCAAGGAGCAUGUCGUCAUUGAUGCUGUUGGAGAGACGCUAGAUAUUGAUGUGUAAUUAUCAUCGGAGAUAAGAGUGCCAUUGUCGUCAAAAUUGUCAAAGUUGUCAUUUGAUGUAGCAUUUGAUGUAGAAGGAAUAUUGGAAACUUGAUUUUCAACUACUGAUUUUUUCAAGGAUGUAACGGUUCUAAAAUAAACGAUAGGAAGUUAUUAUGAUAUAAUACAA